rnacentral:rRNA from 1 species
CCUACGGGGGGCAGCAGUGAGGAAUAUUGGUCAAUGGGCGGAAGCCUGAACCAGCCAAGUCGCGUGAGGGAAUAAGGCCCUACGGGUCGUAAACCUCUUUUGCCGGGGAGCAAGGGCGGGGACGUGUCCCGGCCCGGAGAGUACCCGGAGAAAAAGCAUCGGCUAACUCCGUGCCAGCAGCCGCGGUAAUACGGAGGAUGCGAGCGUUAUCCGGAUUUAUUGGGUUUAAAGGGUGCGUAGGCGGUCCGGAAAGUCAGCGGUAAAAGCCCGGGGCUCAACCCCGGCGAGCCGUUGAAACUGUCGGG